GUCUACGGCCAUACCACCCUGAACACGCCCAAUCUCCUCUGAUUUCGGAAGCUGAAAAGGGUCGGGCCUGGUUAGUACUUGGAUGGGAGAAUAUGUAAAAUGGGCAAGUUUCUGUUCUUU
rnacentral:rRNA from 1 species